UCUACUGUUGAUAUUGGUAGGUGCAUGAGGAACUUCUUAAUUGUUUCUUCAUUUUGUCUAAAAAUCCAUGGGCUGAAAGAAAAGAAAAUUUCCAUGGAUUAUGCUGUCAAAUUUUAGCCGUAAUGCACUGUAUUACUGGAUGGUAAAAGAUUUGCAUUUUAUCGAUGUUUGUUUCUAGAUGAGUGACACAGUGUUAUCAAUGUUUAUUUAAUUUGACUUCCAACAUUGUUUUAAAUUGACACAAUGUAUACAUUAAAUUUUUUGGCCUUUAUUUUGAUUGAGUGUGCAAGGAAGCUUUCCAUAGAAGAAGAGUUAUGUCUUUGAUUUGGAUUUUUUUUCUCAAAUUCAGUGUCUACCUGCUUGCUAUGUAACAUUUUAUUUCAGUGUCUAAAUGUUAUUUAUCAUUUGUAUGUAUCAUUUAAAUUUAGUUUUAGGUAAUCAUAUUUAGUUUCUUUUGUAUCUUUUUUCACAUCAAACUUUAUUUUUAACCGCUGCCUUAUCAAACAGGCUGUGAUUAAUUGUAGAGCACGUUACGCAAGGAAUCUAAGCAUAUAGAGUGCAGGGUACAAUCACCAUGUGGCAGCUACUGAAGCACUCUCUCUCAAAUCUGAACUCUCAAUAUUGCAGAAGAGGGAAGAAGGGUAAGAGGAAAUGAGAGGAGACAGAGAUAUCGAGGAGGUUUUGAUUUGGGUUCUGCCGAUGGGAGGAACGAAGAUGCAGAGGAGAGAAAGGAAAAGAAGAUGAAGAGGGAGAGCCUUCAGCAAUUAGAUACGCUAGGAUCGAAAUUCCAAGGGAAUGCCUUGAGAAAUGUAAGGAAGCUGUUGCAUUACUGAUGGUUGCUGCAGCUAGAUUUUCUGAUUUACCAGAGCACGUUGUCUGACAUUAGGCAACUAUUUCAAGAGAGAUAUGCGAACUCUCUAGCUUAUUGUGUGGAUCAAAAGUUUUUCAUGUGCUCUACUGCAUCACAACCUCAGCUUUGGGAGGGCACAAGAUUCAGAAAGGUUUAUGUACGCAAGGGAUACAUCAUUUUGAAAGAGUCAUUUGAACUUCUGGAGCCAGUCAUCAGUUUUCCUUUGCUUUGUGUGCUUCUUCAGACAGUUUUUCAAGCAGUUACUAUGAGUACCUGACUCUGAGGCAUGGUUUUAUCUCGGU